GAAAGCCCCUCCUCCCUCGCAAGGAGGGUUCCUUAUCUCACCGCCUUGGCUCUCUUCCCCAACCCAUCCAGUCAUCCGAAACUACCCAAAAAAUAUCUCCGGGUAACUCAGUCUUUAUCAAAUCCCUCUCCCCAAAACCCCUCACCCCCAGAUGGGAGGGACCAUACACCGUCAUCCUUACCACCCCAUCAGCCAUAAAAAUUGCUGAAGUCCAAUCUUGGAUCCACCUGUCCCGGGUAAAAAAAAAAAAGCCCCCCACAAAUCUCCCUCACUAUAAAAAGCUGUUCCUACUGGCCCUCUAUCUAUCAAACUUACCAAGGUCUAGCAGCCACACCCCUUAUGUAUAGAGGUUCUACCUAACUAAAAACUAUACCAAGACCACCUUCAUCUGUAACACUCCCCCCUACAGAAGAAAAGAAAGAGAAGGGAAAGAAAAGAGAGAGGAAAGAAAGGAAAGAGAAAGGAAAGAAAAGAGAGAGAAAAAGAAGAGAGAAAGAAAGGAAAGAGAAGGGAAAGAAAAGAGAGAGGAGAAGAAAGGAAAGAGAAGGGAAAGAAAGAGGAGAAAGAAAAGAAAGAGAAGGGAAAGAAAGAGAAGAGAAGAAGGAAAGAGAAAGGAAAGAAAAGAGAGAGGAAAGGAAAGAGAAGGGAAAGAAAAGAGAGAGGAGAAGAAAGGAAAGAGAAGGAAAGAAAAGAGAGAGGAGAAGAAAGGAAAGAGAAGGAAAGAAAAGAAAGAGAAGGAAAAGAAAAGAGAGAGAAAAGAAAGAGAAGGGAAAGAAAAGAGAGAGGAAAGAAAGGAAAGAGAAGAGAAAGAAAAGAGAGAGGAAAGAAAGGAAAAAGAAAGGAAAGAGAAGGGAAAGAAAAGAAGAGGAGAGAGAAGAGCCACCUUCAGCCGCUCGCUCCUCCCCCACCCCCUCCGCACCUUUCACUCCGGAGGCCACGCCUCCCCUGACCUCUCCGGCAGCAGCCCAUGCCCCCACCCUCUCCACGCCUUUCGCUCCGGAGGCCACGCCUCCCCUGACCUCUCCAGCAACAGCCUAUACCCCCACCCCCUCCGCGCCUUUCGCUCCGGAGGCCACGCCUCCCCUGACCUCUCCGGCAGCAGCCCAUGCCCCCACCCUGUC
rnacentral:lncRNA from 1 species